AGCAGCCGCGGUAAUUCCAGCUCCAAUAGCGUAUAUUAAAGUUGUUGCAGUUAAAAAGCUCGUAGUUGAAUUUCGGGAUCAAAUUGUUGGUCGUGCUUCGGUACGCACUGGCAUUAUUGGUUCCUACCUUCUGAAGAACCGCGAUGUCAUUAAUUUGGUGUCGUGGGGAAUCAGGACUGUUACUUUGAAAAAUUAGAGUGUUUAAAGCAGGCGUACGCUUGAAUACAUUAGCAUGGAAUAAUGAAAUAGGACGUUUGAUUCUAUUUUGUUGGUUUCUAGGAUCGACGUAAUGAUUAAUAGGGAUAGUUGGGGGCAUUAGUAUUCAAUUGUCAGAGGUGAAAUUCUUGGAUUUAUUGAAGACUAACUACUGCGAAAGCAUUUGCCAAGGAUGUUUUCAUUAAUCAAGAACGAAAGUUAGGGGAUCGAAGACGAUCAGAUACCGUCGUAGUCUUAACCAUAAACU
rnacentral:rRNA from 1 species